rnacentral:misc_RNA from 1 species
UUCUGGGCUGCGGAGGACUAGCCUUUAUGGCUGCUCCCGCCUUAAACUUGCUGCACGACCUCAAGCUAUUGCUAGGUUAAUGGAGUGGUGUUUACAUUAUAUUCCAGCGAUUACUGCGAUACUUGGUGGCGUUAAACCCGAUGUUGCGAAAGCAACUGAAGUUUGACCUCGAAUCAGACAAGGAUACCCGCUGAACUUAA